CGCAUGCGCUGGAGACGCGCGGGGGCCCACCAGCCCCGUCUGUCCCCGCCCGCCAGCGCCAGCCGGGCACCCGGACCAGGGUCUCAUCAGGAUGGUGGCCUACCAUGACGCAAAGCAUCACCAUGUAUAGUCCGAGGACCUGGGCUUAGAUCAUAAGCACAUCACUGGCCUCUCUCUUCUUCAGCCUGACAAUGGACCCAGCAUCUAAGAUGUUUCCAGUAUUUGGCUAGCAGAAAGGUGGAGCUGCAUGAGACUGUACUGGUUGCCUUCAAAGCUAAGUCAGGAGCCCGAUGGGCCCUGGAUUUACUUCCUGUAGCUUAAGCUUGCUCACCAAGAGGAAGGGGGAACUGCGGUCUCAGUGAGGGAAGACUGGGAGAUGGGGGCUUUUUCCCUGAGACAAAAUACUCUCAGGCCCAGGGAAGAGUUGCGAGCCACUUGGAGGCAGAAUUGCGAUCAAGAACCCUGGGGCUGCGAGGGACUUCAGCCUUGCACGAGUCCUGCUCCCUCCAGGUUGCUGACAGCAACGAACAGAUCAA